GCGCACCAGUCGCGAAACCUCCGCAAUACACGAAAGUGUGACGGGGCCAUCCCGAGUGCCGUCCGCUGAGGACGGCUUUUCCCCAGUGUACACAGCUGGGGGAAUAAGGAGAGGGCAAGCCUGGUGUCAGCCGCCGCGGUAAUACCAGCUCUCCGAGUGGUGGGGACGCUUAUUGGGCCUAAAGCAUCCGUAGCCGGCUGGGCAAGUCCUCCGUUAAAAUCCAACGAUUCAAUCGUUGGGCUGCGGGGGAUACUGUCCAGCUUGGGGCGGGAGAGGCCGACGGUAUUCCCGGGGUAGGGGUGAAAUCCUAUAAUCCCGGGAGGACCACCAGUGGCGAAGGCUGUCGGCUAGAACGCGCCCGACGGUGAGGGAUGAAAGCUGGGGGAGCGAACCGGAUUAGGAUA
rnacentral:rRNA from 1 species